rnacentral:rRNA from 1 species
GACAGAGGAUGCAAGCGUUGUUCGGAAUCAUUGGGCUUAAAGCGCGUGUAGGCGGCCACGUAAGUGUCUUGUGAAAUCCCACGGCUUAACCGUGGAAUGGCUGGGCAAACUGCGUGGCUUGAGGCCGGUAGAGGCGCCUGGAACUCUAGGUGGAGCGGUGAAAUGCGUAGAUAUCUAGAGGAACGCCCGGGGCGAAAGCGGGGCGCUGGGCCGGUUCUGACGCUGAGACGCGAAAGCGUGGGGAGCAAACAGG